ensembl:lncRNA
CUUUGCACAAGAAUAAUUUAGGUAUAAAUAAAAGAAUAAAUGGAGUUUUUGUAUUAUAAAUUUCAUGUAAAUAUUUGCAAAAAGUAAUUAAAUAUCCAAUUAUUAGGAAAACUGUAGCCCUGAUUGAAUAGGUUCUUUCUGAAAAUAUAAAUAUUCAUAAAUUCUUUUUAGUAGCCAAACAGGGGGACACAUUAUAUUUGUUAAGGAUCGUUUCAGCAGUAGAUUUUUACAUUUUUGUGUUUUAAAUUACAAAAAAUAUCAGCAGCAGCUCCAAGUUCACACAUAUCUACGUAUAUUAUUUGUUCUAGCAGCUGUCAGGAAAGUGAAAUAAAGUUCACAAAUAGGCUAUGAAGUCUUUAUCGCCUCUGUUACACGGGAACCUUUUGUUGUUUUCUGUUUACCGACUUCUUUGGGAAUUUUCACGUGUUCGAGUGUGUUGGUUUGUUUUUCCUCUUAAAGCUUUGGGAUCAUGUUUGAAGCACUUUUCUGUGCAGCGGUUUGAUCAAAAUAACACAAAAUAUAGUGUAAAGAGCACAAAGUGAACAACUGAGGAGCCUCAGAACAAAAUCCUCUGAUGUCCUGGAAUAACGUUAGUGAAAAAAAAAAAAAAAAAGAUGCUGCGUUUCUUGGAAGUCGAGGAGCUGCAGGAUAUUUUUACUGCAAACCUCCCACACCAAACCACAGGCGUUUGCGGCAGGACUUUCACUUUAAAUCGGCUCUUUAGGGAUGGGCGAGCACAUGGCAUUGUACAAAACACAAGCACUAAAACCGCACAGUCCAGAAAUACAUUCUAUAUAUUUUUACUGCCGCCGUUGAUAACUUUGCAGCGUGUUUUUUAACUGUUUACUGUGUUUUUUAAUCUAGACUCCGGUCCUCUGUAGUUCGUCUGCAGCAACUCUGAAGUUUAUUUUGUGAAUUUUUGUUUACAGACUCCGGUUCUCUGUAGUUCAUCUACAGUCAUUUUGAAGUUUAAAGGUGCAAACAUGCAACGUAUGACUCUGUAUGAAACAUGAGGCUUAACGAGAUAAUAUUUCUGCAAAGUGUGCACACAGCAUCCGCACAGAGCAAAGGUUUAAAAGUGCUUUUAUUGUGGUAAAUGGGAAAAUCGAUGACGUGUGAAAGUUGCUGCUAUAGAUCAGCCUGGUAAACUUUCUGACUUUUGAAAUGUCCACAUUAUAUUCUGUAUAUAAUCUGUUUGGUGAUUUUUUUUGUCAUUAAUUAAACAGGAUAAUGUAAUGCCUGUGUGUUUGUUUUUCUUUCAUUAAAUGUGGAAUGUGCUAAAAAUUCCGCUCAUGAGUGCUGCUUUAACCCUCCUGCUGUCUUCAUUUAUGGGCACCAAAAAAUAUUGUUCCCUUGUCUGAAAAAAAAAUCCAAAAAUUCAGCAAAAAAAAAAUUCCCAAAUUUUUAAAAAUUUGCAAAAUCUUUAGGAAGAAAAUUCAAAUAAUUCCUUACAAGUUUCCCUUAAAAGUUGUAUUUUUCAAAAAAAAUCCCCAAAUUUGGUAAAAAAUAAAAAAGCAAAAAUUGUAAAUAUUUAAAAAAAUAAAUAAAUAAAAAUCUUCCAAAAUAAUCCUAAAAAUAUCUAAAGUGAUUACAUUUAUAUCAGUAAAAGUUCUAUUUUCUUUUAGAACAUUCAGAAAAAAAUCUUUUUGUGAAUGUUCUUAAGAAAGUUUUUAAACAUUUUUUUCCACCAAAAAAUGUUCAAAAAUUUCCCAAAAAUGUUGAAAAUGUGGAAGUUUUCACUGAAAAUUUUUUUUCUCCACAUUUUCAAACUAUAAAACGGGUCAAUCUGACCCGCAGGACGACACAAGGGUUAAAUUAACUCCAAAUAAUAUAUUAUUGUAGAUAUUACCAGUACAAUAUUUUUGAUGUGUUGAGCCCACAUUGUUCAUUUUUAAGUAAUUUUGUUUGAAAAUGCUGGACUUAAUAAAAAAAGUUCCAUAUUA